AAGUACCAAUCAUUUUGAGGAGUGGUUCCUAUUUUGCACUUUUCUUGAAUAUCCCAGGGCUCGAGCUUAUUAAGAUCCACAUCACGAAUUACAUCCAAGUCGAUCUUCUCAUAGGAGACCUUCUUCUUCAAGUAAUAAUGCAAAAGCUCUUCUUCUGUGGGAUGAAAUCGAAAGCCAGGAGGCACCUGCGAUUGCCCAUUUACGGAUAUACUCAUGUUUUCUGGCAUU
rnacentral:misc_RNA from 1 species